CAAGUGAAGAAGCGCAUACGGUGGAUGCCUUGGCAGUCAGAGGCGAUGAAAGACGUGGUAGCCUGCGAAAAGCUUCGGGGAGUCGGCAAACAGACUUUGAUCCGGAGAUCUCUGAAUGGGGGAACCCACCUAGGAUAACCUAGGUAUCUUGUACUGAAUCCAUAGGUGCAAGAGGCGAACCAGGGGAACUGAAACAUCUAAGUACCCUGAGGAAAAGAAAUCAACCGAGAUUCCCUUAGUAGUGGCGAGCGAACGGGGAUUAGCCCUUAAGCUUCAUUGAUUUUAGCGGAACGCUCUGGAAAGUGCGGCCAUAGUGGGUGAUAGCCCCGUACGCGAAAGGAUCUUUGAAGUGAAAUCGAGUAGGACGGAGCACGAGAAACUUUGUCUGAACAUGGGGGGACCAUCCUCCAAGGCUAAAUACUACUGACUGACCGAUAGUGAACCAGUACCGUGAGGGAAAGGCGAAAAGAACCCCGGAGAGGGGAGUGAAAUAGAACCUGAAACCGUAUGCGUACAAGCAGUGGGAGCCUACUUGUUAGGUGACUGCGUACCUUUUGUAUAAUGGGUCAGCGACUUAUAUUCAGUGGCAAGCUUAACCGUAUAGGGUAGGCGUAGCGAAAGCGAGUCUUAAUAGGGCGUUUAGUCGCUGGGUAUAGACCCGAAACCGGGCGAUCUAUCCAUGAGCAGGUUGAAGGUUAGGUAACACUGACUGGAGGACCGAACCCACUCCCGUUGAAAAGGUAGGGGAUGACUUGUGGAUCGGAGUGAAAGGCUAAUCAAGCUCGGAGAUAGCUGGUUCUCCUCGAAAGCUAUUUAGGUAGCGCCUCAUGUAUCACUCUGGGGGGUAGAGCACUGUUUCGGCUAGGGGGUCAUCCCGACUUACCAAACCGAUGCAAACUCCGAAUACCCAGAAGUGCCGAGCAUGGGAGACACACGGCGGGUGCUAACGUCCGUCGUGAAAAGGGAAACAACCCAGACCGCCAGCUAAGGUCCCAAAGUUGUGGUUAAGUGGUAAACGAUGUGGGAAGGCUUAGACAGCUAGGAGGUUGGCUUAGAAGCAGCCAUCCUUUAAAGAAAGCGUAAUAGCUCACUAGUCGAGUCGGCCUGCGCGGAAGAUGUAACGGGGCUCAAACCACACACCGAAGCUGCGGGUGUCACGUAAGUGACGCGGUAGAGGAGCGUUCUGUAAGCCUGUGAAGGUGAGUUGAGAAGCUUGCUGGAGGUAUCAGAAGUGCGAAUGCUGACAUGAGUAACGACAAUGGGUGUGAAAAACACCCACGCCGAAAGACCAAGGGUUCCUGCGCAACGUUAAUCGACGCAGGGUUAGUCGGUUCCUAAGGCGAGGCUGAAAAGCGUAGUCGAUGGGAAACAGGUUAAUAUUCCUGUACUUCUGGUUACUGCGAUGGAGGGACGGAGAAGGCUAGGCCAGCUUGGCGUUGGUUGUCCAAGUUUAAGGUGGUAGGCUGAAAUCUUAGGUAAAUCCGGGGUUUCAAGGCCGAGAGCUGAUGACGAGUCGUCUUUUAGAUGACGAAGUGGUUGAUGCCAUGCUUCCAAGAAAAGCUUCUAAGCUUCAGGUAACCAGGAACCGUACCCCAAACCGACACAGGUGGUCGGGUAGAGAAUACCAAGGCGCUUGAGAGAACUCGGGUGAAGGAACUAGGCAAAAUGGCACCGUAACUUCGGGAGAAGGUGCGCCGGCUAGGGUGAAGGAUUUACUCCGUAAGCUCUGGCUGGUCGAAGAUACCAGGCCGCUGCGACUGUUUAUUAAAAACACAGCACUCUGCAAACACGAAAGUGGACGUAUAGGGUGUGACGCCUGCCCGGUGCCGGAAGGUUAAUUGAUGGGGUUAGCGCAAGCGAAGCUCUUGAUCGAAGCCCCGGUAAACGGCGGCCGUAACUAUAACGGUCCUAAGGUAGCGAAAUUCCUUGUCGGGUAAGUUCCGACCUGCACGAAUGGCGUAACGAUGGCGGCGCUGUCUCCACCCGAGACUCAGUGAAAUUGAAAUCGCUGUGAAGAUGCAGUGUAUCCGCGGCUAGACGGAAAGACCCCGUGAACCUUUACUGUAGCUUUGCACUGGACUUUGAGCCUGCUUGUGUAGGAUAGGUGGGAGGCUUUGAAGCGUGGACGCCAGUUCGCGUGGAGCCAUCCUUGAAAUACCACCCUGGCAUGCUUGAGGUUCUAACUCUGGUCCGUAAUCCGGAUCGAGGACAGUGUAUGGUGGGCAGUUUGACUGGGGCGGUCUCCUCCUAAAGAGUAACGGAGGAGUACGAAGGUGCGCUCAGACCGGUCGGAAAUCGGUCGCAGAGUAUAAAGGCAAAAGCGCGCUUGACUGCGAGACAGACACGUCGAGCAGGUACGAAAGUAGGUCUUAGUGAUCCGGUGGUUCUGUAUGGAAGGGCCAUCGCUCAACGGAUAAAAGGUACUCCGGGGAUAACAGGCUGAUACCGCCCAAGAGUUCAUAUCGACGGCGGUGUUUGGCACCUCGAUGUCGGCUCAUCACAUCCUGGGGCUGAAGCCGGUCCCAAGGGUAUGGCUGUUCGCCAUUUAAAGUGGUACGCGAGCUGGGUUUAGAACGUCGUGAGACAGUUCGGUCCCUAUCUGCCGUGGACGUUUGAGAUUUGAGAGGGGCUGCUCCUAGUACGAGAGGACCGGAGUGGACGAACCUCUGGUGUUCCGGUUGUCACGCCAGUGGCAUUGCCGGGUAGCUAUGUUCGGAAAAGAUAACCGCUGAAAGCAUCUAAGCGGGAAACUUGCCUCAAGAUGAGAUCUCACUGGGAACUUGAUUCCCCUGAAGGGCCGUCGAAGACUACGACGUUGAUAGGCUGGGUGUGUAAGCGUUGUGAGGCGUUGAGCUAACCAGUACUAAUUGCCCGUGAGGCUUGACCA
rnacentral:rRNA from 2 species